rnacentral:misc_RNA from 1 species
UGUCUAUUAACUUAGCAUUGUAGGUGUGAGUCUGUGAGAAUGCCAAGAUUAAUACACACAAAUACAAUAAAGAACCAUAUACAAAAGUGGAGUUAAGAAAGAAAGGUGAUUGAAAUGGUUUGGACAUGUCCAAAAUAAACCAACAAAAUGCACCAAGAUAAAAGGCCGAACACAACCAAGUAUAGGAGUGUAGAAAUGAGAGGUAGACCUA